rnacentral:piRNA from 1 species
UGAUAAAGGGAAGAGAUCUUACAUGUGGA